rnacentral:rRNA from 1 species
AUUGAACGCUAGCGGGAUGCUUUACACAUGCAAGUCGAACGGCAGCGCGGACUUCGGUCUGGCGGCGAGUGGCGAACGGGUGAGUAAUGUAUCGGAACGUGCCCAGUAGCGGGGGAUAACUACGCGAAAGCGUAGCUAAUACCGCAUACGCCCUACGGGGGAAAGCAGGGGAUCGUAAGACCUUGCACUAUUGGAGCGGCCGAUAUCGGAUUAGCUAGUUGGUGAGGUAACGGCUCAACAAGGCGACGAUCCGUAGCUGGUUUGAGAGGACGACCAGCCACACUGGGACUGAGAAACGGCCCAGACUCCUACGGGAGGCAGCAGUUGGGAAUUUUGGACAAUGGGGGCAACCCUGAUCCAGCCAUCCCGCGUGUGCGAUGAAGGCCUUCGGGUUGUAAAGCACUUUUGGCAGGAAAGAAACGUCGCGGGCUAAUACCCCGUGGAACUGACGGUACCUGCAGAAUAAGCACCGGCUAACUACGUG